GUGGAGUGUGUAGAGAGUGUGGAGAUGUGUGGAGUGUGUGGAGUGUGUGGAGUGUGUGUGUGUGGAGUGUGUGUGUGUGGAGUGUGUGGAGUGUGUGUGUGUGGAGUGUGUGUGUGUGGAGUGUGUGGAGUGUGUGUGUGUGGAGUGUGUGUGUGUGGAGUGUGUAGAGAGUGUGUGUGUGGAGUGUGUGUGUGUGGAGUGUGUGGAGUGUGUGUGUGUGGAGUGUGUGUGUGUGGAGUGUGUAGAGAGUGUGGAGUAUGUGGAGCAUAUGGAGAGUGUGGAACUUGUGGAGUGUGUGCGUGGAGCAUCUGUGGAGUGUGUGGAGCGUGUGUGUGGAGCGUGAGUGUGGAGUGUGAGUGGAGUGUGAGUGGAGUGUGUGAGGUUUGUUUGGAGGUUGAGGAGUGUGUGGAGCA
ensembl:lncRNA